CAGGCACUGAGCCCCAGUGAUAGCCCUGGUUGGGAGAAAAAAUAAUUCAAACACAGGUGCUAACAGCAAAGGUGGUCUUGUCACCUUUGGAGGACUUUCUAUACCCUUCAAAAUGAAUUUAGUGGUUCUACACAU
rfam:Erinaceus europaeus unplaced genomic scaffold scaffold00520, whole genome shotgun sequence